rnacentral:lncRNA from 1 species
CCACUCCUUAUAUCAACAAAUAUAGAAUCGCACGUAUAUUACGCAAACGAACUGGAAACCAUGGAAACGAGAGGUGAGUAAAGAUGAGUAGUCUACGAAAACAAAAAGAAUCGCACAUGCGCAGAACGGAUUGUAACCCGUCUUUAAACUAAUUGUCACCUUUGAAUUAUCUUUUUAUAUUUAUAGUAUUAGUACGAUUGCCGCUUUCGAGC